rnacentral:rRNA from 1 species
AUUGAACGCUGGCGGCAGGCCUAACACAUGCAAGUCGAACGGUAGCACAGAGAGCUUGCUCUCGGGUGACGAGUGGCGGACGGGUGAGUAACGUCUGGGAAACUGCCCGAUGGAGGGGGAUAACUACUGGAAACGGUAGCUAAUACCGCAUAACGUCGCAAGACCAAAGUGGGGGACCUUCGGGCCUCACACAAUCGGAUGUGACCAGAUGGGAUUAGCUAGUAGGUGGGGUAAUGGCUCACAUAGGCGACGAUCCCUAGCUGGUCUGAGAGAAUGACCAGCCACACUGGAACUGAGACACGGUCCAGACUCCUACGGGAGGCAGCAGUGGGGAAUAUUGCACAAUGGGCGCCAGCCUGAUGCAGCCAUGCCGCGUGUAUGAAGAAGGCCUUCGGGUUGUAAAGUACUUUCAGCGGGGAGGAAGGCGGUGAAGUUAAUAGCUUCACCGAUUGACGUUACCCGCAGAAGAAGCACCGGCUAACUCCGUGCCAGCCGCCGCGGUAA